UAGCACAAGGUUUACCUCUUACUCCUCACUUUCUCCAUCCAUGGCUGCUUCGGCUCUUUGCAACUUCCUUUCCUGCACAUUACCAUCACAUCGACUUCCCAUCAAGAAACCCAGAACCCAUCUCAUCUUUGCAUCUUCUUCAUCUGUCCCUUCUACUUCUCUUAUUUCUUCUUCUUCUUCUUCUUCCCGAUCGUUUCAGAGUGGUAUUUACGGAGAUGGGUUAGUUCCAGUAGUCGAGAACGAGCCUUAUUCUUCUUAUUCAUCGGAUUUAGUGUCAGUAGUAUGCCCUUCUCUUCUUUACACGAAUACCCUCUUCUUCAAAUCUGCAUACAACGUUCAGGUCAUCGUGGGUGAAGAUGAAUCUGAAGAGGUCUUGCUUAGGAGGUUUCGGAGGGAAGUAAUGAAGGCUGGAGUAAUUCUGGAAUCCAAGAGGAGAAGGUUCUUUGAGAACAAGCAGGACGAGAAGAAGAGGAAGACCAGAGAAGCUGCUAAGCGGAAUUCCCGAAGAAGACGACCCUUCACCCCAAGAACUCCUCCUCCAGAGAAGCAGGAUUCAUUAAAGAACAAGAAGGAUGAGGAUGAAGAAGAAGAUAAUUGGGAACUUGUUGAAGGAGACCUUCCCUAUUGACUACCAUUUUUCACUAUUCUCUCUCUGUGGAACUUGCAUUCUCUGGGGCAUCUUUAUGUUUGGAGAUUAUGGGGAGAGAGGUAGGCGACAUUGGUAGGUGCCUUGAAGUCAUGGACUCUGGUGGCUGUAAUCUCCCAUCUUGCAAGCAACUCUGCUUUCAGCAAAAGAAUGGAAAUGGAAUGUGUCUGGUCAAUGUUAAAGAGCACUAUCAGUGUGUUUGCUAUUACAAUUGUUGAGUUGUUAU